rnacentral:rRNA from 1 species
AUUGAACGCUGGCGGCAGGCCUAACACAUGCAAGUCGAGCGAGCGGCGGCCGGGUGAGUAAUGUAUGGGGACUGCCCGAUAGAGGGGGAUAACUACUGGAAACGGCGGCUAAUACCGCAUACUAUCGGAUAACCCAUAUGGGAUUAGCUAGUUGGUGAGGUAAUGGCUCACCAAGGCGACGAUCCCUAGCUGGUCUGAGAGGAUGAACCGGCACAGUGGGACUUAGACACGGCCCAGACUCCUACGGAGGCAGCAGUGGGGAAUAUGGCACAAUGGGCGCAAGCCUGAUGCAUCCAGGCCGCGUGUAUGAAGAAGGCCCUAGGGUUGUAAAGUAGUUUCAGUCGGGAGGCGGUACCGACAGAAGAAGCACCGGCUAACUCGGUGCCAGCAGCCGCGGUAAUAC